AUUUUGGCGCUGGCAACACAAGUAUAUGCAGCCUAAAAAGGUUGGAAUUGCACCAUAUGUUCAGAUUACUGUUGGCGCCAUGAUUUUCUUCUACACUCUUAAUUAUGGAAAGAUGA
rnacentral:lncRNA from 1 species